AGAGAGAGACAUGCGCGCAUAUCAAUAAGCGGAGGAAAAGAAACUAACAAGGAUUCCCUUAGUAACGGCGAGUGAAGCGGGAAGAGCUCAAAUUUGAAAUCUUCAAGGUUUUACCUUGACGAAUUGUAGUUUAAAGAAGUGUUUUCUGCUGAAGUUUUGGUAAAAGUUCUUUGGAAUAGGACAUCAUAGAGGGUGAGAAUCCCGUAUUUGACCAUUAUUUCAGCUUUGUGAUACACUUUCAAAGAGUCGGAUUGUUUGGGAAUGCAGUCCAAAAUGGGUGGUAAAUUUCAUCUAAAGCUAAAUAUUGGCGAGAGACCGAUAGCGAACAAGUACCGUGAGGGAAGAUGAAAAGAACUUUGAAAAGAGAGUUAAACAGUACGUGAAAUUGUCAAAAGGGAAGCGUUUGACACCAGUGUUGUUUUCUCGAAAAUCAAUUAAAAAUGGCUCGAUUUUGUAUUGCUGAGACCUUAAAAGCUCACUGUACAUUUUUCGUGUCUUUUUUAAUGCACUUUUCGUUUAACAAGUCAACAUCAGUUUCUUUUGUUGUAAAAGGGUCAUUGGAAGGUGGCUUUCUUUUCGGAGAAAGUGUUUAUAGCCUUUGGCCUCUGCAAUCGGAGAGACUGAGGUCUGCAGCGUAGACUCUUCGGGGUUAGAUACACUUGUGCUAAGUUAUAGCUUUUUAUAGACAACUUGUUGACUAUAAUUAGUCUUGUAGCUUACUCGCUUAUGCUAUUUUACCUACGCUUAGGAUGUUGAGUCGUAGAGCACGCAG
rnacentral:rRNA from 1 species